AAAUAAAUUUGUAUCAUUCAGCAAGCAAAGAAGACAGCAACUCAAAAUCUGCAAGUAAUGAAGUAAAAGGGCACGGAAACAAUGGUGAUUCUAAUUCUGCAAGUUAUCAAGUAAAGGGGAAGUAUGCAUUCAGGAUUGUUGACAAUUCUGAAAGUCACCAGGUGAAGGGCCAGUAUUCAAGGAGAUCCUCUGAAGAAAAUAGGCAGAAUGGUCACUCCAAUUCUGAC